CUUCCUGAUGCAUAAUUAGUUGGAUACAAGAUAAUAUUUGGUUUUCUCAUUUGAAUUCUGAGGUGCUAAAAAAAUAACAAAAAAAUCUUUUACCAGCUAGAAUAUUAGGAGGAAUUUUUAGAGUGCUUAGCAGAGAGUAUCAUUUAUUUUAAAUUGGUCAAAAUAAAUAAUUUUGAUGAGUUGUUUAUAAAGGCAUGUCUUUGGAUCAUACAACCCUUUAUAUAUAUCCAAUGUACCAAUGUCAACUAACAAGGAAACAAACAUAAUUUUUCUAGGUGUUUCAAGCUUUGAGAUUGUCUAUUUCUACAAUUUAGUUUCUAGACAUGCUGUAUUUAAUAAACUUUAUGUAACAUUUAAAGUCUUGCACUGCACUAGCAAACAGAAGCUUUCUCUGCCUAUCACUGAAGCUAUCUAAUGUCUUAGGAAGCUAACGCAUGUCCAUUAUUGAGGCUAAAAGCUCUUGUUCAGAUUGCUUGAGAUGUGUGCUAGCUUUGCUAGUUUUCUGACUUUUGGUGUAGAUGUAUUACAUUAGAAUGUGUGUACUGGAAAUGCUAUGAUAGGUAUUUUAUGUUUUUCUAAAUGCAAUGAUAGUUUCUUGUAUGAAUGUGCAAGAAUCCUGUGACAGAAUGCUGUUUUUACUGUAGUUUAAGGUUAUAAAGUAGGGAUGCAACAAUUCCUGGAUAGCUUCUAAAUUUGUGAUUUGAUUCACAGUCAAUAUUCUUUGUUGUCGAAAAAUGAAAUGGUCUUAUUAUGUAAUAUUUAAUGGUUAUUGGCAGGGGGAAUGAGAAGAAAUUUGUCAUAGUUUAAAAGAGAAUAAUUGUGAUUUUUCAAAACUUCCCUCUAUUUUCUGGAAAUAUUUAUGAGUUUGUUUAAUACAGAAGGAUCUUUGUAAUUGUCAUAACUGAGUUAUAAUUUAAAACUUCCUUUAAACUGCUAUAGUUUUAGUGUCUAAGAGAAAUUUGUUUAUAUAUAUAUCAUAUCUUCUUGCAUAGAAACAUCCUUCAAUUGUUGUAUUACUAUAGUCUGAAGGCAUUUAGACAAGUUUUUGUGCUUGCAGCAGAGCCUGCAGUAGCGAUACAAAGGACAUUGGUCUUUUGACAAAAUACUUGUGUAAAGUUUGAUACUGUACGAAAACUAUUUUUUUAAAGUUCCAUAUAAAAUUGAGUAUUAAGUAUAUGUGAACAUCUUAGCGACAGUAAUAAAUUAUUUAAUCUCACAGU
rnacentral:lncRNA from 1 species